rnacentral:lncRNA from 1 species
UUUAGGCUGGUUAAUGUUUGUAUUGGAGCCCACUACCUUUUAUUUGGCUUGUUUCUUACCAUCUUCCUUGCUUCUCUGGUUGUUUCACGGUUGGGACGGUGGCGUGGCGUUGGGGCUGUCUUGCGGGUCGGCCGGAGAGGGAGCACACCGAGUGGGCUUCUAAGAUGGCUGAGGUGAUUAUUUGCUCCCUUGUUUGUCUUUCCCUUUGUGAUGUGUAUGUGCUCAUCAAGGGCCUUGUUAUUUUUUAGGGAUUUGUCUAGGGUUUCCUGGUUAAUCCAUUCUAAUUUUGGUCUGCUCAUGCUCUUGGCUUCCGGACCGUGGUGCUCAAG